AUUCCUACGGGAGGCAGCAGUAGGGAAUCUUCCGCAAUGGGCGGAAGCCUGAUGCAGCAACGCCGCGUGCAGGAUGACGGCCUUCGGGUUGUAAACCGCUUUCGCCUGUGACGAAGCGUGAGUGACGGUGAUGGGUAAAGAAGCACCGGCUAACUACGUGCCAGCAGCCGCGGUGAUACGUAGGGUGCGAGCGUUGUCCGGAUUUAUUGGGCGUAAAGGGCUCGUAGGUGGUUGAUCGCGUCGGAAGUGUAAUCUUGGGGCUUAACCCUGAGCGUGCUUUCGAUACGGGUUGACUUGAGGAAGGUAGGGGAGAAUGGAAUUCCUGGUGGAGCGGUGGAAUGCGCAGAUAUCAGGAGGAACACCAGUGGCGAAGGCGGUUCUCUGGGCCUUUCCUGACGCUGAGGAGCGAAAGCGUGGGGAGCGAACAGGCUUAGAUACCCUGGUAGUCCACGCUGUAAACGGUGGGUACUAGGUGUGGGGUCCAUUCCACGGGUUCCGUGCCGUAGCUAACGCUUUAAGUACCCCGCCUGGGGAGUACGGCCGCAAGGCUAAAACUCAAAGGAAUUGACGGAAU
rnacentral:rRNA from 1 species